GGAAGUCAUAGAUUCGUAUAACUUUACCACAAAUAAUAUAAACUUCAAACCUCGCAUUUUCAUUUAAUGUUUUUAGCAAGUGGCAGCUUUUGUUAUGACAGCCUUGUUCAAAUGACAUGUUCAUAUGGCCUUGCGACAUCAACCACGCAUCACAUCACAUUACAUCAUAUCACAUCUCAACACAACAGAUACAACCCACACCACUACACACGCACGCAUUAUACACAGAAUCUAACACCGCUCAUCGUACGACACAACAACCACACGAUCAUCAACGAAUCGAGUGUGGUAAUCACCACCCAAAUCAUUAAAAGGGAUUGAUCCCAACGGGAUCACUCUCAUUCGAUUUCAUCCGUGAACCAGAAGGUUUGGUAACUUUUCGAGUUCGACAUCCUUUACGUUUCUACAUAUCGUGUUACCAACUCGCAGUCGUAUUCCUACCUGGAGCAAUCUUUUCGCGCGCUGUGUGUGUGUGUGGUUAACCAUCCCAACAUUUACUUAUUCAUUUUAAAAUUGUAAUAAACGAAUUAUCCUCCAUCAAGGAGAAGUGCAACUUAUUAAAUUUAAGAAUAAAAUUUUAUAACGUUUUCAAAAUAUUGUGUGUUUGCCCUUUUUAAAGUCUGGUGAUAAUUCCAUAAAAAUGGACGUAGAAGACAGACCAAGUGGCCCCAAAGCUGUUAGGUCCGAAAUAGUUGCUCCCGUCGCUGCUCCGAGGACACUAAUGAGUACGGGACCACCAUCCGCUACCGCAGCUGGAGAAAGAGGCGAAGAGCAGCCAAGAGAAAACCGGGUUUAUCCACGGUGCAGCCUGUGCCAUCGCCCUCACGUCCUUAAAAGGUGUUCCAUAUUCCAGAGCAUGAAGCCCGCUCAAAGACAACAGGUUGCAAGAGCCCACGGGCAUUGCAUGACCUGCUUGGCAGAUGACCACGCCACCAUAGAAUGCUGGGCUGACGGCGCAUGUCAAUACUGCCAACUGCCGCAUCACACUCUAUUCCACCGAUUUCCCAGGCGAGCCAACCCGUCAUCAAAUCAUAUCAACACACGGCACAGACCCCACAGCAACCCAAUCCAACGACGACGAGCCCAUCGCACUAGAUCAACCACUGCACGCUCGCGGCCAUCUCCGCCACGCCACACUCAUCGCCAACAACAACGACGUUCAACAGGGUUGAAAGCUGUAGUCGACACGCUGCAACAGCUGCAGAGGCUCCUAGGC